CGGGGCUAAAGGCCUCCCAAGUUCCGGGAAGAAAGCGGGGCUGAAGUAGUCCACUAUUGGUUUAAUAUAAGCAAUAUCUGACUAAGAAGAAGAUAUAUAAAAGUAUAUAUUGACUAAAUCACUGUGGCAGCUGGUGGCCUUCAGUCGACUGAAUCAUGGACCUGUGAUUUGAUCUCCACUCACCAUUUAUUCUCUUAAUUCAUCACACAGAGCAUCUCAAAGUGUUCCAUGUGAAGGGGAACACAUGUUUAAAAGUCAUCUGAAAAAGAAGAAAGAUGUAUGUUCUUGUAUUUAAAACAUGAGCCUCUAGGACACUUUUCAGAACUCAGAGCUUGAGAACUUCAAGUUGGAGAAGCAGGAAUAACAUAAUCAGCAUUCUGUACAUUCUUAGUAUCACGUUUCCCAGAAAACAGGCUUUUCGGUGUAUUCAUUACUGCUACACAUUUGUUCUUUGCCUGUUCUUUGCAGCAUCAAAGAUAAGGUCAAAAUUAAAAUAAUCCAAACUGGAUGUGGGGGAAAGGCGAAGAAGCUGAGCUCUGAGCAGGAGCAGAGCCCCACCGCUCCCAGAAAGCAAUCUGUUUCAAAGAGGACUGUGGGAAGUCACAGAAUGCAAGACGAACCAGUCAGUCAGGUUUGGAAUAAUUCAGUUCAUACCUUUGUACCCUGUAUCCCAUAAGGUGUGUUUGGCUAUAGAUAACUGAAAAUCCAACUACUGUAAACAAACACCAUUUCCUCACACAACUGAAGGUCUAUAAGUAGGAGGUUCCUGGUACUGGUUAAGCUGUCCACCAGUGUCACUUAGGACCAGGCUCCUACUUUGCUUCUUGGUAUCAUCACUGGAGGGGUGUCUCAUCCUUUGACCACUAGGAUGUAGGCCAGGGACAAACCAGCCGCCUGCUUCCUGCUGGUCCUGAACAACCCAUUUCAAUGUUUCUCUCUGCGUUAGGAAAUGGACCUUUCCCUCUCUGAUGAAAAUUGACCCCAUCUUUCUUCUUGAGUCAUUCUCUUGUUUAUUCACUCCUCUCUUCAGUAACUACGGAUUGAUAUACACAUCCAAAACUAAAGAGUGUCUGUCCUUAGCAACCUUAAGUUCAGGAUUUCUAUGUGAUCUUGUUACCACAAUUGAAGUAGGAAAAACAGACCUACGAGCUAUAACUGUUGGAAGAGAAAAUGUAAAAUGCUUUUAUUAAUAGAGAACAUUAGACUAUUUCAAAAAUACUGGAAAAAUUUUAAAAAUCAGUAAGAUUGCCAUAAACCAGACAGUAAGAAAUAAAGAUACAUAGAUCAACACACACAGAAUUUCCAUAACCCUAACAAGUAUGUUAAAAAGGAGAUUCACAGUAGAAUCAUAAAGAUGUAAAAUGUCUGGGAUUUAUUUGUUAGGAAAUGCAAGGGACUUAUAGGAAGAUAACUUUCUGGGAGGAACUAGAAGUAAAAUUGCUUAAAUGAAGAUAAGUAUCAUGUUCGAGGAUGGGAAGGCCAAGUAUAAAUCCCAAAUCAUCAUUAGGCUCAAUACAAUCGCACGUGAAGUGACCAUGGGGCUCUUUGGGAGCCUGGCCCUUGGACUUGGCUCUGUACUGUCCUUCUCAAAAUGUGAGGGAAGGUACUCACUACCAUUCCUCCCAAGAACAAUCGAAUUAGAUUCAAACAAGGCGAAAUGCCCCCAGGAAGUACUAGUUCAAAAAAUUUCCCAUAAAUUCAGGCUUCAAAGUCAUCAACAGCAUACAGUAAUAACCAUAGGACUUUCUGUGUGUGUGGUGGUGGCAGGGGAUGCAUCUGGUAGUUCAGCAAAUUUGCACAAUUUUUUUUUUGAAUUGAAGUAUGUGGUUUGUUCCAAGCACCUGACUGAGUCAGCUAAGCAACAAGCUGCCUGACCCUGCAAUAUCUGAUUACCUGUGCUGGCUGCUUCUAGGAGUCCCUAGAUUGUGUCUCAGCAUUACUAGGGGCAGAAGGUGGUUGGGAGCAAGAAGUUUGUCGUGUAAGAAGAUUUUUUUGGCCACAAAUAACAGAACAUGCUACCAUUCUUUAUCUUACAUUGCAGGAAACCCAGAGGCAGGGGCUUCCAGGGGUGCUUUCAGGGACUCUGCAUCUCUUGACUCAGCCCUCAGUGUAUUGUCUUGGUUGUUCCUAAGGCUUAUAUCCUCAUGGUCAUGGUCUCAAGUGGUUGUUGCAGUUUUAAGCAUCACAUGAAACCAUACAUUUGGCUGAAGAUUCAGCGUCAGGAAAUGUUUUUGUUUCCUUUGCCACUGUAACGAAUUACCACAAACUUUGUGGCUUAAAACAGCACAAACUUAUCGUCUCACCGCUCUAGAAGUCAGAAGUCCAAAAUGGGUCUUACUGGGUUAAAAUCAACACAUUGGCAGGGCUGCUUUUCUUCUAGAGGCUCGAGGGGAGAAUCCAUUUCCUCACCUUCUCCAGCUUCCAGAGUCUUCUGCACUCCUUGGCUCGUGGCCUCCUCCUCCAUCCCCAGAGCCUGCAGUGUAGCAUCUUCAAAUCUCUCUCUGACUCUGACCUCCUUUUCAUCAUCAUGAUGCCUUCUCUAACCCUGAGUCUUCUGCCUCUUCUUGAACAAGGAUGAUUGUGGACCCACCACAGUUAAUCCUGGAUACUGUCAUGUCAAGAUCUUGGACUUGAUUACAUCUGUAAAGCCCCCUUUGCCCUGUAAGAUAACAAAUUCACAGGCUCCAGGCAUUAGGAUGUGGGCAGUUUUGGGGAGCUACUACCCUGCCUACAACAGUGAAGGAAUCAGGCCGUUCAGAAGCCUUCUUUCUUGUAGACUUUCUCUUACCCCACUGGCCAGGAUUGAUAGAUGUGUCCAUGUCCCGACUGUGACCAAAGCUGGGAAGGAGAGUGGCUGGCGUUUUCGCAUCUGUAGAGGAAGCUGACCUCUCCACGAUGAAGGAGGGUGGCACAGCCACAGCGGCCGGCAUAGAAGUCGGCUUGGGUGAGCGCAUCUGCCCCAGAAGCCUCUCCUCGAGUUGAGUCAGAAGGCCAUCUGCUCACCCAAGAUGAUGCUGAUGCUGGAAGUUUCUGGACUUCUACCAGCAGAGAUCUGGAACUGAACCAAGUCUCAACAUCCAGGUAGCAGCAAGGAGAUGGGGUCUUGGUAGAGGGCUUGACGGUAGAGCUGGAAAGGAAAGGUGGUAUGUUCCAUGGAGUCUAAGGAAGAGCAAGAGCUGUCCCUUGGGUCUAGGGGGAAAAUCAGCUUUUCAAAGGAUUCUCAUGAAAGGAGAGGGAGAGGAAGCUCUUCAGAGUCCCUGUGUGGGGUCUUUCCCCAGAACACUCCAUAUGCCCUUUUGAGCAGGAAUGAAUGAGGUUCCUCAAAAUUCCAGUAUCAUCCUUGGGAGUAAAGACACUUCACUAGGCAGUGGUAUGUCUUUAAAAACAUUUUUUUUUUAAGGGGGGGAGGGUAUCACUCAAUUGGUAGAGUGCAUGCUUAGCAUACAUGAGGUCCUAGGUUCAAUUGCCGGUGCCUCCAUUAAAAAAAAAAUAACCUCUCCCUCCAAUAAAAUAAAAUAAGAUAGAGCAGGGCUUAGCAAAUGUUAAAAAAAUUAAACCAUUUUCCUUCUAGUUUUAUUAAGAUAUAACUGACAUACAACACUUUUUAAAAAUUUUUUAAAUUUGGGGGGGUAGCUACUAGGUUUAUUCAUUUAUUUACUUAUUUUAAUGGAGGUACUGGGAAUUGAACCCAGGACCUCGUGCAUGCUAAGCACACCCUCUACCACUGAGCUAUACCCUCCCCACGACACUGUGUAUGUUUAAUGUGUACAACAUGAUUAUUUGACUGUCAUACAUCAUGAAAUGAUGAUCACAAUAAGUUUUGUGAAAAUCCAUCAUCUCUUACAGAUAUAAAAUUAAACAAAUAGAAAAAAAACUUUUCCCUUGUGAUGAGAACUCUUAGGAUCUACUCUCUUAACUUUCAUAUAUAGCAUUCAGCAGCAUUAAGUAUAUUUACCAUCUGUACAUUAUUUCCCAAUACUUCUCUUGUAACUAACAUUUUUGCCCUUUGACUGUUUUCAUACAGUUCCCCCAUUCCCCGCUCUGGUAACCACAAAUCUGAUUUCUGUUUCUAUAGAUUUGUCUAUUUGGUUGUUUGUUUCUGAAGUAUGAUUGACUUACAAUAGAAUACUAUGUUAGUUUCUGUUAUACAACAUAGUGAUUUGAUAUUUCAAUAUAUUUCAAAAUGAUCACCACAAGUCUAUUUACCAUCUGUCACCAUUCAAAGAUAUUACAUAAUUAUUGACUAUAUUCCCCACAGUGUACAUUUCAUACCUGUGACCCAUUUAUUUUGCAACUGGAAGUUUGUACCUCUUAAUCGCCCUCACCUAUUUCUCUCCUCCCCCUCAUGCUCCUCUCUGUCAACUACCUGCUUCUUCUCUGUGUCUAUCACUCUGCUUUGUUAAGUUUGUUCAUUUGUUUUAAUUUUUAGAUUACACAUGUAAGUGAAAUCAUACAGUAUUUGCCUUUCUCUGUCUUACAUUUCCCUUAGCAUAAUACCCUCCAGGUCCAUCCAUGUUGUUGCAAAUGGUAAGAUUUCAUUUUAUGGCUGAGUAAUAAAACAUUGCAUUCCCUGAUGAUUAGUGACGUUGAGCAUCUUUUCAUGUGCCUGUUGGCCACCUGUAUGUCUUUCUUGGAAAAAUAUUCUGAUCCUUUGCCCAUUUUGAAACAGUUUUUUUUUUUUUGAUGUUGAGUUUUAUGAUUUCUUUGUAUAUUUUGAAUAUUAAACCCUUGUUGGAUAUAUCAUUUGCAAAUAUUUUCUUCCAUUCAGUUGGCAGCCUUUUCGAUUUUUUGAUAGUUUCCUUUGCUGUGCAAAAGCUUUUUAGUUUGACGUAGUCCUGUGUGUUUAUUUUUGCUUUUUUUUCCCCUUGCCUGAGGAGACGUAUCUUCUCCAAAAAUAUUACUAAAACUAAUGUCAUAGAGUGUACUGAUUAUGUUUUCCUUUACAUGUUUUAUGGUUUCAGGUCUUACAUUUAAGUCUUUAAUCCAUUUUGAAUUUGUUUUUAUGCAUGGUGUGAGAAAGUAGUUAAGUUUGAGUCUUUUGCACAUAGCUGUCCAGUUUUCCCAACACUGUGUAUUGAAGAGAACAUCUUCUCCCCAUUGUAUAUUCUCGCCUCCCUUGUUGUAGAUUAAUCGCCCAUGUAAGUGUGGGUUCGUUUCUGGUCUUUCUAUUCUGUUCCAUUGAUCUAUGUGUCUGUUUUUGUGCCAGUAUCAUACUGUUUGGAUUAUUGUAGCUUUGUAGUACAGUUUGAAAUGAAGAAACCUGCUCCUCCAGCUUUGUUCUUCUUUCUCAAGAUAGUUUGGCUAUUUGGGGUCUUUUGUGUUUCCAUACGAAUUUUAUAAUUAUUUGUUCUAGGCCUGUGAAAAAUGCCGUUGGUAUUUUGAUAGGGAUUGCACUGAAUCUGUAUAUUGCCUUGAGUAGUGUGGUUAUUUUAACAAUAUGAAUUAAUGCAAUUCAUGAACAUAAUACAUCUUUCCAUCUGUUUGUGUCAUCUUCAGUUUCUUUCCUCAGUGUCUGAUAAUUUUCCCAGAACAGAUCUUUUACAACCUUAGAUUUAUUCCUAGGUGUUUUAUUCUUUUUAAUACAAUUGUAAAUGGGAUUAUUUUCUUAAAUUCUCUUUCUGAUAGUUUAUUGUUAGUGUACAGAAAUGCUACAAGUUUCAGCGAAUUAACUGUGUAUCCUUCAACUUUACAGAAUUCAUUGAUGAGUUAUAGUAGUUCUGUGUGUGGUAUGUUUCUUUAAUCCUGCCUGGACACUGGCUAUGCCCAUAGAAACAUGAAGAUGCAAACAACUAUUUAUGAUACCUCUCUUAAAGUUAGUGGUAGAAUGCCAUUUGUGAAACAUUGGUGAGUUAGUAUAAAAUUCUGACUUGCUUGACAUGACAGGGCUAUGCAAGAAAGAAACAGGUAGCAUAUUUUUCAGCUCUUUUCUGUGACUACCAUAAAAUUGUACAUACACUGAUCCCCAUGAUACUAAAAGAUAAAUGAUCUCUGCAUGACACUUCAGAUUUGGUAGUUCUCUGAUUCAUACGUGAUGUAAAAUAUAUACACUGUUGUCAUUGAUAACGUCUACAUUUUAUUACCAAUGGGAAUCACUUCUCUUUUUUAAUUGAAAUAUAGUCAGUCUACAGUGUUGUGUCAAUUUCUAGUGUACAGCAUAAUAUUUCAGUCAUAGAUAUACAUACGUAUAUUCUUUUUCAUAUUCUCUUCCAUUAUAGGUUACUACAAGGUAUUGAACAUAGUUCCCUGUGCUAUACAGUAGAAACUUGUUGUUUAUUUUAUAUAUAGUAGUUAGUAUCUGCAAAUCUCAAACUCCUAAUUUAUCUUUUCCCACCUACUUCCCCUUCGUAACCAUAAGUCUGUUUUCUAUGUCUGUGAGUCUGUUCUAUUUUGUAAAAUAAGUUCAUUUGUGUCUCUUUUUUUUUUUUUAAGAUUUCACAUAUGAGUGAUAUAAUAUGGUAUUUUUCUUUCUAUUUCUGGCUUGCUUCACUUAGAAUGACGAUCUCCAGGUCCAUUCGUAUGGCUAUAAAUGGCAUUUUAUUUUUUAUGGCUGAGUAGUAGUCCAGUGUAUAUAUAUACCAUGUCAUCUUUAUUCAGUCAACAGAUGGCAUUCAUUUCUAUGAGGCAUUGUCCAUCAGGCUUAGACCUUGAGUCCCAUUAAAUGAUGUUUCUAUUGCAAAUCAAGGGCAUAUGUAGAUCAUAACUGCUCAUACCACGUCAUCUAUGACUGCCAGGAGCCACGAGUGCAAAGUUGUAUUGCACUCAGGUACCUAUUUAUGGGUCAAAAAUAACUUGUGGAUUCUGCCUCCUUUGUGGUUUAUCUCUGAUGUCAAAUAAAAUGGAAUUCCAACCAA